rnacentral:rRNA from 1 species
CCUACGGGUGGCAGCAGUGAGGAAUAUUGGUCAAUGGACGAGAGUCUGAACCAGCCAAGUAGCGUGAAGGAUGACUGCCCUAUGGGUUGUAAACUUCUUUUAUAUGGGAAUAAAAUGUUCCACGUGUGGGAUUUUGUAUGUACCAUAUGAAUAAGGAUCGGCUAACUCCGUGCCAGCAGCCGCGGUAAUACGGAGGAUCCGAGCGUUAUCCGGAUUUAUUGGGUUUAAAGGGAGCGUAGAUGGGUUGUUAAGUCAGUGGUGAAAGUUUGCGGCUCAACCGUAAAAUUGCAUUUGAAACUGGCAGUCUGGAGUACAGUUGAGGUGGGCGGAAUUCGUGGUGUAGCGGUGAAAUGCUUAGAUAUCACGAAGAACUCCGAUUGCGAAGGCAGUUCACUGGACUGCAACUGACACUGAGGCUCGAAAGUGUGGGUAUCAAACAGGAGUAGAUACCCCUGUAGUC